AGUGGUUUCAUUUUAUCAUAAUGUGCUAACACAUGGGAGUAAAGAUGAGGCUGACAUGAUGGAAAAUGUCUUCGUGUUGAAAAUGGUGCCUGAGAUGAGCAAGGUCAGCAGACACGAAGUGAGGUUAACGUCAGGUUUCCUUGCCAGCAUUGGGAACUCUGGAUACAAUGGAGAGUCACAGCUGGUCAAACCCGGAACUGCUUGCUCCUUGAAAUGGCCAGAGAGGCCCAUCCCAGAGCCAUCUCAUCAUCUCUCCUCAGACAGGAAACCGAGGAGGAAAACAAUCAGCUCUGUUCUCUCUGGGCCGAGGGAGUGAGCUGUAAUGAGGGAGCACAUGAAUGCAUUGGGUGCCCUCAGACCUGAACACACAGUUGAGAAUAACUCAUCCAGGGUUGUUGAAUGGUGGAGGAUCUUUCAAAAUCAGCAGCUAGAAGGUCGAGAACCCUUCAUGCCAUACUAAGAAGUUUCAUGCUAGGCAAAGAAGAGUAACAAGGUAUUUCAGCAGGUGAAUGAUGUGAGUAAAUAUUUGCUUCAAAAAAGUGUAUUGUAAUAAUCCAUGUGAGAAGAAAUGGGAACACUAGCAAUGACCUUUGAAGAAUUAUACCUUUGUAUCUGGGAAGUCUUGAGCUCAAAUGAGAGAGAACUCUUACUAUGAGUGAAUUGCAAUUAGAGUCCUGUCACCUCUACUUAAAUCUCUCAAACGUAAACCAUUGGAGUAACCUUUCCUUGCUUCUCAUCUUUCAAUAAGGCUUGUGUGUGCUAUUAACAAAAUACCACAGCAUCCCAGAGCAGGAUGCCUUUCAGUGAUGAAUCAAUUGAUUCCCACGUGCUAGUGUAUAAAUUGUUAACUGCUUCAGGAUUCAUAGGGAUGAAAGAUGCUUUAUUUAUUGUCCUUUGAGAUGAAAGAUGCAUAAUUUAUGGCACUAGGAUUACUAUUUUAUUUACUCUUGUGAUGCUGAAAUCACAUUCUUUUCUGGUGAUGGAAUUGGAGAAUCUCUUUUAAUUUGUGGGCAAGUGGCUUAUUAAAAGCUUCAGAGUUGGAGGGUUUGGCUACACAAAAGUGGGUGUUGUCUCAAGGAAGCAGUAUGGUGCUUUUGUUGCUAACACAAAGACUUUAUUCUCCUGCUCACAAGCGUUAGUGAGAUGUUAAACAUGUGUGCAUGAUGUAAAGAUGUUGGCUCUGAUACGUGUUCAUGUAGGCUUAAGGUUUAGAAUGACAUAAUUAGGUUCAUUCUGUAAAAGUAUCUUAAAAUAUCGCAGUUGUAGACUUCGCAGAGUUUUCUCUUCCAGUGGGUCCGGGACGUUUGUAUGGCAUACUUCUGUGUUCCUAGGCAAUCACGUUUUCCAGCAUCCGAAAAUAUCCACAACUUUGUGUUCAGGAAAAUGUCCAGCGUCUUUUGUUGAUAGAAUCUUUAGAAUUUCAUUGCCUGAAAAUCUCUUUGUAGCUUUGCUGAAAAGCCUAGUUUAGUUCGUUUGUUUUCUUACUUUUAACUAAAAGUUGUGGCUCACUUCUUGGCAGCAAGGUUUGGGACAAUUUCUUUAAUUAAAGAAAAUAUUUGCCUUGUGUCAUCCUGCCUCAGAAGGCCUAUGGGAGGCCAUGUGUGGAUUGGGGUGAGGUAGGAAUGUUGGAUAAUUGUUUCUACCUGGUAUUUCCACCAAUACACUCUACCUUUGGUGGAACCAAUGUCAUCUCGACAUUUUAGGGAUCACAGUAGUAAAAAGUGUGGAAAUAAAAGAACAGGGUCAGGCUAGCCAAUAGCUUCUUUUUCUUUCUUUUCCCUGACAGAAAAGUGCUUUCCCUUAGACUGAUGGCCAAAUAGCAAUACAGGUUGAGUAUUCCUUAUCCAAAAUGCUUGUGAUCAAAAGUGUUUUGGAUUUCUGAUUUUU